CGACGGCGGUCUCUUUGAUGUUGAAGGGUUCAAAUUUGUGGCCUACUGACCUACUUACGAUGCGUCCGCCAUCUUACUGGUUGGAAUAUUAAAUGUGCGAAUUUUAAAGCACGUUUAUUUUUCGUGAAAUAAUAGGCAAAUUGUAUAUAUAUUUUCUUUUGGAGUUUUAAUAAUUGCACUUUAAUAAAUUAGGAAAAUUUAUUUUGAGCACAAUCGGAUUCAUCGAACAUAAGUGAGGUUAAGUUAAAGGGAAUUGUAAACAAUAACACCAACCUAUAAGAUGGCGACGCCAGAAAAAUCAAUUAAGGCGGGAUACCCCCAGUGUCCUUUCUGGUUAUUCUGUGCUGGAGUGACAUCUGGACGCCAUUCUGGUUUGCAUUCAAAGCAAUUCAAAGAAGAGUUGAUCUCCAAGAAGUUUCUUUUGUGGUUUUUUCAUAAACAGCGCUGUAGAAAUGUCCGAACAUUGCAUAUGGAAUGUCUCUUGUAACGUGUACGUGAAAACUUCCGUCAAUCGUCAUCGAAAAAAACAAAAAAGAGGUAGAUUUUAAAUUCUGCAUUUCCAAGAUGAUUAAGAACAAGAUGUUGGCAUGGAUGAGGAUGGCGCACCACCAUACUAUGCCCUUCCUGUUUGAGUUUAUUUAAACCAAUUAUUUUCUAAUGGAUGGAAUGGGAGAAGUGACCCGAUUGAUUGGACUGCGAUAUCACCAGAUUUGGCUCUGCCGGACUUCUUCCUUUAAGGACCAAACCAAAUUUUACACCACUGGACCAAACACUUCGGAUGAACAAAAAAUCAGAAUCAGAAGUUUAGCAAAUAAUUCUUGAUACCUUAGAGAAUUGUCAAGAAGAAUUUAAAAAUCGUUUAGGAGCUGCCCAAGGUGAGGUCUUUAAAAGUAUAGAUAGUACCGAUUUGUCUCAAUUGUGCACUAGUUAACGGUGCACUGAAAUUAAAAACACCUUCAAGAAAGUUAUUUUAAUUAGCAAUGUAAUGACACCAACUAUGGUUUUCUUGAAGUCUAACUUUUGAAGACAAUUCCUCAGUUUAACAGGCUCAUUCUUAGUCUUUGUUAUAAGCUUAGCUACCUAUCUUCGCGACGACAUUUGUUUUUGAAUAAAAUAAUCAUUAAGUAGAUCAAACUCAAUACUCAAGACUCAUGAAUAACGUAGUGGAUUUUAAUGGAACCUAUGAAUUUAAAUUAUUAUGUGAAAAAAUAGUUGGCUAUUUCGCAUUAGAAACGAACGUUUCGUAUAAAAAUUUGUUACAUUCAAAAAUUAAAAAAAUUGUUUUGUUUUUUUUAUGUGUUGUUAACUUGGAUUGUUUGGGUGAAUUAUGGGUUGCAUAAUUACGUAAUUAUUAAAUUUAUUUUUAGCGUUUAUUUAUAUUUUAUUAUGUUAUUAAAAUUCUCUUUUACAGCAGCAUACUUCUGGUAUUCCUAAUUUUUUUCCUAAUUUUGAAUUUCGUCCUUUGUUGUUGAGAGGGUGUUGAUUCUUAAGUUUUGCACAGGUGUAAUUUUUUUUUCUUAAUCCUACUCAUAUAAAAGUCUCUCUUUCAAAAACCAGAUGGUGAAUACUAAAUCACGUGUGCUUUUUGGAAAUUUUGGUUGAAUCGCCAUUUUUGGAGAGUUUUGUGAUUUUUCUAAAUCCAUAUUUUUGGGAUUCAUCACCAGUGAUUGUUUUUGAAAAAAGUGAUUUUCUUUUCUCAUAAUUUUCGAUAUUUCCGGAUUUAAAAGUAUUUUCCUGUUACCACGUUUUCUUCUGGUUAAAUCCUCGAACACCGGAGAUAAGUUUUUCAAGAUUUCUUUUAAUUCACGCGUCCUUUUACCUAUCAACCAAUCAACCUUUCGCCAAAUGUAAUACAAAAAAAAAUUAAACUAUCCUAAAAUCUAAUUUUC